ACAUUGGGGGAGCAUACUGCAGUCGAACGGUAGGUUUUUCUUCGGAGAAACUGAGAGUGGCGCACGGGUGCGUAACGCGUAUGCAACCUACCCUUAACAGGGGGAUAGCCCAGAGAAAUUUGGAUUAAUACCCCAUAGUAUUACAAGAUGGCAUCUGAAAGUAAUUAAAGAUUUAUCGGUUAAGGAUGGGCAUGCGUGACAUUAGAUAGUUGGUGAGGUAACGGCUCACCAAGUCAACGAUGUCUAGGGGUUCUGAGAGGAUGAUCCCCCACACUGGUACUGAGAUACGGACCAGACUCCUACGGGAGGCAGCAGUAGGGAAUAUUGGUCAAUGGGCGAGAGCCUGAACCAGCCAUGCCGCGUGCAGGAAGACGGCUUUCUGAGUUGUAAACUGCUUUUGUACGGGAAGAAAAUGCCCUUGCGAGGGAAAUUGCCGGUACCGUACGAAUAAGCACCGGCUAACUCCGUGCCAGCAGCCGCGGUAAUACGGAGGGUGCAAGCGUUGUCCGGAUUUAUUGGGUUUAAAGGGUGCGUAGGCGGAUCUUUAAGUCAGUGGUGAAAUCCUGCAGCUUAACUGUAGAACUGCCAUUGAUACUGGAGAUCUUGAGUGUACUAGAGGUAGGCGGAAUUUAUGGUGUAGCGGUGAAAUGCAUAGAUACCAUAAAGAACACCGAUAGCGUAGGCAGCUUACUGGAGUACAACUGACGCUGAGGCACGAAAGCAUGGGUAGCGAACAGGAUUAGAUACCCUGGUAGUCCAUGCCGUAAACGAUGAUUACUCGAUGUUGGCGAUACAUUGUCAGCGUCCAAGCGAAAGCGUUAAGUAAUCCACCUGGGGAGUACGCUCGCAAGAGUGAAACUCAAAGG
rnacentral:rRNA from 1 species